UGCCCGGUGACUUUAAUGUUAAACGGCCGCGGUAUUUUUGACUGUGCGAAGGUAGCAUAAUCAUUUGCCCUUUAAUUGUGGGCUGGAAUGAAUGGCAAGACAGAGGCUGUGCUGUCUUUUCUCUAGUUUCUUGAAUUUAAUUUUGUUGUGAAGAAGCGACUAUUUGGCCGCAGGACGAGAAGACCCUGUCGAGCUUUAUUUUGAAAUAACUAUCUGGGUAAGUGUAUAAUUACAAGCUAAUUUUUAUCAAAAAGUUGAGGCAGGAAGGUUACUUGUGAGGAUACUGAGAAAUGUUGUUUUUAAUUUGGUUGGGGCAACCGCGGAGAAUAGGAAUCCUCCGCUUAGAAAUGGUAAUUGGGAAAAAUAGGAUAUUUUGUCAGGUAAAGUCNNNNNAGUUAUAAUAAAGGAUCCACUAAGGAGUGUUAGUGAUUAAAGGAAAGAGUUACCGCAGGGAUAACAGCGUUAUUUCUUUGGAGAGUUCAUAUUGAUAAAGAAGUUUGCGACC
rnacentral:rRNA from 1 species